GUUGAAGAUUUAUUUACCCUGGUCAACUGUGUUCUUCAAGAUGUUCAAUUGACUGACCAGAAGCGUUUUAAGCAGUUUGUUUCUCAAAGCAAAGCAAGAAUGGAGAUUGAUCUCUGACAGAACUGAGACUAAUUUGCCUUCUUCAACUAAGUCAUGUUAAUUGUUGAUUUCCAUAAUAGGUUAAGAGGCAAGUGGACAUAGCAUUGCACUGCAAGGAUGGAUGCAAAGCUCAGUGUUGCAUGUUGGAUCUCUGAACAGAUGGUGGAGCAAUGAACCACAAAUUCAGAUAAUUUCCAAGAAGCGUUCUCCAAGGCAAAGAAGCAUUGAAACAAAAAUACAGCAUGCAUGGUGUUCUGGAAAGUAAGAUUUACGACUUAUAUGACCUUUAUGUUGAGGUAAUAUAUCAGCUUUUAAUACUUCCGUUCGAUGAAUAUUGUUGUACUGAUAUACCUAACUUGCUAAUUUCAUUCCAAAACU